rnacentral:rRNA from 1 species
UACGUAGGUCGCAAGCGUUGUCCGGAUUUACUGGGCGUGACGAGCGCGCAGGCGGCUGGUCAAGUCCGAUGUGAAAUCUCCCGGCUCAACUGGGAAACUGCAUCGGAAACUGAUCGGCUUGAAGAUGGGAGAGGGUAGUGGAAUUCCCGGUGUAGUGGUGAAAUGCGUAGAUAUCGGGAGGAACACCAGUGGCGAAGGCGACUACCUGGCCCAUUCUUGACGCUGAGGCGCGAAAGCUAGGGGAGCGAACGGG